rnacentral:lncRNA from 1 species
UUCCUCUUGACUUGGUUGCAUAGCUUUGAAGACAUUGAAACUUACCUCUCUAUCUUGGUCUUUUAAUUUCAGUAUUUCCUCUUCCAUAUGAAUGACAACCUAAGUUGUCUUCAGGAAAGGUCUUCCAAGGAUGAGCGAUAUCUUAGCAUCCUCCUCCAUCUCCAUCAAAACAAAGUCCACCAGGAAUUGAAGCUUAUCAACUUUUACCACCACAUCUUCUACCACACCAUAAGAAUAUUUGAUGGACCUCUCUGCCAACUGAAGCAUCAUUCUUGUUGGCUUGGCUUCAAGGCCACCAAUAUUUUUAAGUAUACAUAGGGGUAUCAAGUUGAUGAUAGCCCCUAAAUAAAUAAGAGCUUUCCCUAUAUCAUGGUUUCCAAUGGUGCAUGGAAUGGUGAAACUCCCCGGAUCUUUAAAUUUUGGAGGGAGAGUGUUUUACAUUAUGGCACUGCAAUUUUCCCGCACUUCAAUUGUUUACUCAUCUAAAUGCUUCUUUUUCUUGCUGAGGAUUUGCUUCAUGUACUUUUCAUAGGUAGGAAUUUGUUGUAGUGCUUCAGUCAAGGGCAUGGUGAUCUCAAGUUGGUUGAAUAUUUGCUUGAACUAAGCCAAUUGUUUCUCCUUUUCUCAAUUGGAAGGAUUUUUCCGGUAAGGAAGAUGUUUCACAAUUUCCUUCUCUUUUUGCUUUUUCUCUUUUUCUUUUCCUUUAUUUUCUUCUUCUCCUCCAACAAUCUCUUCUUCUACUUUUUUCUCUCCUUGAUUCUCUUCUUCAUUAUUUUCCUUCUCUUCUUCUUCUUCUGGCUUUUCUUUUUCUUCUUCUUUCCUCUCAACCUCUUUUCCACUUCUAGUGAAUAUGACAUUACACUCUUCCUUAGGAUUGGCUUGAGUAUUUAUCUACCCUGUUGGUUUGCCAAUUGCUUAGCUAACUGACCAACUUGCACUUC